rnacentral:rRNA from 1 species
UGAACGCUGGCGGCGUGCCUAAUACAUGCAAGUCGAGCGACCAGACGAGGAGCUUGCUCCUCUGACGUUAGCGGCGGACGGGUGAGUAACAAGUGGAUAACCUACCUAUAAGACUGGGAUAACUUCGGGAAACCGGAGCUAAUACCGGAUAAUAUAUUGAACCGCAUGGUUCAAUAGUGAAAGACGGUUUUGCUGUCACUUAUAGAUGGAUCCGCGCCGCAUUAGCUAGUUGGUAAGGUAACGGCUUACCAAGGCGACGAUGCGUAGCCGACCUGAGAGGGUGAUCGGCCACACUGGAACUGAGACACGGUCCAGACUCCUACGGGAGGCAGCAGUAGGGAAUCUUCCGCAAUGGGCGAAAGCCUGACGGAGCAACGCCGCGUGAGUGAUGAAGGUCUUCGGAUCGUAAAACUCUGUUAUUAGGGAAGAACAAAUGUGUAAGUAACUAUGCACGUCUUGACGGUACCUAAUCAGAAAGCCACGGCUAACUACGUG